AUUGAACGCUGGCGGCAUGCCUUACACAUGCAAGUCGAGCGGCAGCGCGGGGGCAACCCUGGCGGCGAGCGGCGGACGGGUGAGUAAUACAUCGGAACGUGUCCUUUCGUGGGGGAUAACCAGUCGAAAGACUGGCUAAUACCGCAUGAGAUCUCACGAUGAAAGCGGGGGACCGCAAGGCCUCGCGCGAUUGGAGCGGCCGAUGUCGGAUUAGCUAGUUGGCGGGGUAAAAGCCCACCAAGGCUACGAUCCGUAGCUGGUUUGAGAG
rnacentral:rRNA from 1 species